UUAGAUCUGUUGUACUGAAUGUAAAAGGCCUGGAAAAAGCAAGACUGGACAGAGACUGACAAGAUAGACUUCCAAUCAGUCAUGUUACAAAUAAAAAAAAGUAUUCAAAGUGGAAGAAGCACGGAGGAGGGACUGCUGUGAGAAUGCAAAAGAAAAAUGGGGGCAUGGGAACUGCCUCUGUGUGCCGACAUCCUCAGCCUUUCCUCCCGUGGCUGCUCGGGGUUCUGGGGAAGCCCUCGGGGUUUUGGGAGGUCACAGGUGAUCACAUUUACACGAGGAUAAAAAAGAAACUAUCACUUGUUGAGAAGACUUUUCACAGGAUUUGUGAUAACUCUCUAAAUUCUGAAGCCUGCUGAAAUUUUCCUUGACAGCCUCAACCGAAAUGUGCAGCUCCACCUGAGGCAUCUAAAGG